rnacentral:lncRNA from 1 species
CGCGUGGGCUGCAUCCCUGCGAGGCCCAACCUCCCGCACUUCUCUAGGCCUGCCCGGCCUCCUCUCCACCGACGGGCCUCAGCCCAUGGUGAGCUGCCCCUCGCCCAUAUCCUGUUUCGACCCUGUAGCAGUUUCGGCCCGACCAUGUUUUUUCCCCGCGCUGCAAUCUUCUCUAUUAUCUAGUGACUGCCAGUUUUACAGAAAAGUCCUUCAAGUUCAUGCAUUUAAUAACUAAACAACCAUGCAUCGGAUUAAAACAAACUUUAUAUGUAAAAUGAUUAGAAUUUCAUCUAGUUUCUUAAUAUGCUGCUUUCAUCCAUGCUAAAAAUGUUUAAAUUGUUGUUUGCAUUAAUUUGCAUAUAUGACAUGCUAAAAUGGUUUAUUCCAUAACUUAAUAACCGUAGCUCCGUUUUAAAUAAACUUUAUAUGUAAAUGGUGUACAAAAUGCAUAGAUUAACAUGGUGCACUUAUUUUGCAUGUUUAACAAUUCUAAAAUAUGGUUUAGGGCAGAACAGUACCAAAAUUGAAAAUUGCCUACGAGGAUUUUUUCGGAAUUGUUGUUUGUGUUUCCAGCCUCAUUUAAACUUGCCUAAAUAGGUAGUUUGUUUACGCUUCACCUCUUGCCAUGUUAACCAACAUUCAAUAUUGAUGAGUAGUAUAAACAAGAGUGAACUAAAUAUUUGAAUGUGGUGUUUCGUUAAUAUGCAACUCGUUGCAUAUUGAGCUCCACUUAAUUUGUAGUAUCGCUUGUUGCACUUUGCCAUGCCAUGCCUCAUUAAACUGGACAUGCAUCAUACUUGGUUGUGCAUCAUGCCAUGUUUACGCUUGUUGGUUUACCGUGUUGUUUGCUUCUUUUCAGUUAUGCUUCUUCAUGAUAGUUCCGGUUAUGUUGCGAUUGUGAGCAUUCGUUCGACUACGUCCGUUCGUCUUCUUCAUGGAUUCGGUGUUUUUCCUAGCGGGAUUUCGGGCAAGAUGACCGUUACCCUGGAUAUCACUAUCAUCUUUGCUUGCUAGUUGUCUCGAUGCUAUCGCUAUGUCGCACUACCUACCAUUUGUUUGUCAAGCCUCCCAAAUUGCCAUGAUAAGCCUCUAACCUUUUUCAUCAUCCCAGAAAACCGUUGUUUGGCUAUGUUACAGUUCUGCUCAGCUCUUCUUAUAGCGUUGCUAGUUGCAGGUGCAACGCAGGUAGUUUCAUGUUGGGACAUGGAUAUCAUGGAAUAUCAUAAUAUCUCUUAUUUAAUUAAUGCAUCUAUAUACUUGGUAAAUGGUGGAAGGCUUGGCCUUUUGCUUGAUGUUUUGUUCCACUCUUAUCGCCUUAGUUUCCGUCAUACUGGUGUUAUGUUCCUUGAUUUUGCGUUCCUAACACGCUCGGAGUUUAUGGGCCCCCUUUGUUUCUUCGCCUAAAGUAAAGCUUUCCCGAGGAGAUCCAACUUUGGUUUACCAUUUGCCUAAUAACAACUAAAAUUUGCAUAGGGAGUAAUUAACCCGAUGAUUCUUAAUCAACAACCCCGGGCUAGUGCUCGACAUGAGUGUUGAUCCACCUACCUAGCAGUCGGCGGUGCCGCCUCGGGGCAACUUGAGGUCUUUUGGCUAUCCUCCACUUCGCAUAGACGGAUGAGUCCGUAGAUAGAGAGCGCACGGCUCUGGACAUGAAUCUGACUCACUGGGAGAUCUCCUUGGGAUAGUUUUCCUUUCUUCGAAGAGCUUGUGCACCAGGAUUCUGAGGAUACUCGGGGUGUCCCGAGAUGGAGAAUUGCCUCCGUGGAUUGUGAGAGCUUAACAUGGGCUAAGUUGGGACACCCCUGCAGGGUUUAAACUUUUGAGAGCCGUGCCCGCGGUUAUGUGGCAGAUGGGAGUUUUUAAUAUCCGGUUGUAGAGAACUUGACACAAGUCCUAAAAUAAAAUACACCAACCGUGUGCGUAACCGUGACCGUCUCUUUUCGAGUGAGUUCGAGUAGCGAACACGGUGGGGUUAUGUUUGAACGUAAGUAGUUCAGGAUCACUUAUUGAUCAUUACUAGUUUGCGACCAUUAUGCGUAGUUUCUCUUCUUAUUCUUGUGCUCGUAAGUUAGCCACCAUACAAUGCUUAGUGCAUGCUGCAACCUCACCACUUAUCCAUUCCAUACCCAUUAAGCUUUGCUAGUCUUGAUACCCAUGGUAAUGGGAUUGCUGAGUCCUCGUGGCUCACAGAUUACUACAACAACAGGUGCAGGUACAGGUAAUGCGAUGAUCUGACAUGAGAGCAAUGCUUGCUUGUUUUGGAGUUCUUCUGCUUCUUCUUCCUCGAUCAAGGGACAGGUUCCUGGUCGGGAGCCUCGGAUUAGCAGGGUGGAUGUCGUUCUUCUUUUUCAUUUAGUUCAUCCAUAGUCGGAUCCCGCUCUUCUGUAUGAUGAUUCCUAUGUAUUGAUGUAUUCAUGUUGUAGCUUGUGGCGAGUGUAAGCCUUUAUCUUGUAUUCUCAUCUAUUCAGUACAUGGUAUGUUG